rnacentral:tRNA from 1 species
AGGCGCGUAGCUCAGUUGGUUAGAGUGCUUGCUCGACACGCAAGAGGUCGACGGUUCGAAUCCGUCCGCGCCUACCA